CGGACUGUUUACCAGUCAGGCAGCAACGACUUUGUAAAGUGAAGCUACCUGCCUGGAGGCUAUGCGGCUUACCUACUCUGGCUUUAAAAAGUUUGAUUCACUUUCUUAAGAAGACACUUAAAAUGAAGACUGGCAACAUUCGAUAUUUUUAAUCAAUAAUACAUUUUGGCACAAAUAUGGUCAUACUUUCUUCGCUCGAAACUAAAUCUACGAAACACGUUUUGUACAUAUAGCACACGAUUUUUCGAUGCUAUGUCCAGACAAGGAUAGUAGACAACAAUACAGUAGGUAAAAAUAGACAAUACUAAAAAUUCACAAAGCUUUUUCCUCAUAUAAAAGAGUUUCAUCUUUCAUGUUCUUUAAAUCUCAAGUCUAUAUAUAGAAUUAGUACUAAGUUCUUAGCAUUUUAUUACCAAUGUCUCACUGCCUAACUCCAAUUUUAAACAGCAAAACUUCAGUCUCAUUUGCAUUCAGCUUUAAAUUAUGUUCAAUGGAAUAUUCAGAAUACUUGACAGAUCUCUAUUUAGGUGUGUAGCUGCUGCAUUUGGAUCUACAAGAUCAAAGUAGUGUAGAACCUGAGUAUCAUCAGCAUAUGAUUGAAUGUGACAGUAUGAGACACUGUCACAUAUAUCGAAGACAUAUACGAGGAACAAAAGUGGGCCUAUUAUUGAACCCUGCGGCACACCCGACACUAUUUCGCCAGCCUCACAUGAACUCUGAUACGUACGAACUCUCUGCCUUCUUCUUGUUAACAAGAUUUAAAGAAUUUACAAGAUAUUUCCUCAAACCCCAGAUAUUUCAGCUUUGCACAAAGAUGAUCAUGAUCCAACACUUCAAAUGCCUUGGAGUAAUCCAAGGAGUCGGAUAUGACAGCCUUAUCCUUAUCCAAUGUUGUUAUUAUGUUGUCAGUGGAUUUAACUUUGCAGUUACUGUGCUAUGCUCUCUACGAAACGCUGACUGAAGCACGCCAUUUCAUAAAUACUAGUUUGAUGUUUUCAGUUAUUAAAUAAUUCCACCAUUGACGUCGCAUCGUUGAACCUAUAAAAUUCUAGGGCUUGUUGUGGACAAUUCCUUGAAAUACAUAUUGCCGUCUUAUCUAAAAAAUUAAGUUCCUCCUAUUUUGUGUUGUGAUUAAUUUCCAAAGAACUGAACUUAUCCACCUCCCUAACAGUCUAUUAUGCCCUUAUUGAGUCACAUUUCCUGCCCUUCCCUUCUGGGGUACAUGUGGUGCGACUCAAUUUGAGCGACUUUUCAAACUACAAAAGAGAGCUGUUAGAUAUUUACUCGAACUAAACAGCAGAUCUCUUUCCAAAGGCUUCUUUAAAAUAUUAAAAAUUCUGACUCUUCCUUCCUUAUUCAUCUUUGAAUCCGUUUGCCUAAUUCGUAAGCACGCUUCUCCAAUUUCAGAAAGGUCGUUGCUCGGCUAUCCACUUAGGAACGCGGAGCACGACCUUCACCUACCUACUCUACGUUCAGAAUUAAUUAAGGGUUUAAUAUUUUACAAUGCAAAAAAUGCACAAUCACUUGCCAAUUGAAAUCAAAUCGACAUCAUCUUUUCCUGUAUACCGUAAGGGCAUAUUUACUGGAAUGUGCCUUCUACCUACAAUUAUUCAAAAUAUUUUGACCUUGCAAAAUCUUGUAAAUUCUGAUAAAAUCCAGCAUAUAACUUUGUCCUUUAUAUAAAAUGUUUUUCAAAAUAAAAUACCACCCAAUAGAAGAUAGAAGAGUUAAAAAAAGAAUAAAUUGGAAAACUCUGCAUUACUAUGGAUAUAUUCAAGUAACUUUCAGUCUUAUAUAAUAGCUGCUUCCCAUUUACAUCAAAACUCAGAUAAUUUUCACUUGAGACCUACUUUUUACCAGCAAUCUGCACAAGCUUAGGACCGUGUGCUUCAGUGAGUUUUGUGAACUUAGAUUUGAAAGUGAGGUUGAGGACAUCACGUUGUCAGAUGUUGUCAUCAAAAUAAACAAGUAUACAAUACUAAAUUAUUGCAAACAGUUAUUAUUUAAGUUUUGUCUUUUCUUUCGCUGUGAAAAACAGACGGUUGGAUCACCAAUGAUAAUGAUGAUUUUAUGGGGUUAUUGAGAAUUUCAACUCACACUACGCGUUCCUUUUUUCACUGACGUCAUUAUCUGAGUAUGAGUCUCAGUUCACUUGAAUGUAAAUGGAAAGCAGCUAGUGAUAAAUACUAACUGGUGCAUUGAUGAACUCGAGGUUUUUAGGUCUAACAUGGUAAUUUUGCCAACAAAAUACUGCCUUCUUGAUCAUGCUCGGUGUAAAUUCUUUGGCGUGAUCGAAAUCCAUACCGUAAAGAUCAAAUAUCGCUAUGACGCCAUAAAUUUGAGCCGGUAUGAUAUUUUCUAAAGAUGCGACAUCCAUCAUCAUAUUUCCAGUUUUGAAUACAUUGUCUUGGGUGUGAAUACAUGGGUCGUGUAUAGCUGUUCGUACAAUAACUACCAGUCUGAAAUAAAAUUAAAUUUACUAUCAAUGGAGAUGGUAGAUAUUAGAAGAUCCAAAAAAACUAACAUGGUCCGUUCUUUAUAUAUUGUAUUGGGGCUAUUACGUGAAUUGUAAAAAUAAAAUAAAAUAUAAACAAAUA